rnacentral:rRNA from 1 species
AACGGAGGGGGCGAGCGUUAUUCAUCCUUAUUGGGCGUAAAGGGUACGUAGGUGAUGAGACGUGGUUUUCAGGAAAGCUCAGGUUUAUCUCUUGAAAUUGUGAAGACCAUGGAUUAAUUCGGGAUCGCAAAAGGUUGGCAGAAUUACUAAUGUAGGGGUAAAAUGCUACGAUAUUAGUACGAAUACCAAAGGCGCAGGCAGCUUUCUUCUGGAUCCGACACUGAGGUACUAAAAGCAUGGGGGAUCAAACAGG